CUGCGGAGGGAUCAUUACAAGUGACCCCGGUCUAACCACCGGGAUGUUCAUAACCCUUUGUUGUCCGACUCUGUUGCCUCCGGGGCGACCCUGCCUUCGGGCGGGGGCUCCGGGUGGACACUUCAAACUCUUGCGUAACUUUGCAGUCUGAGUAAACUUAAUUAAUAAAUUAAAACUUUUAACAACGGAUCUCUUGGUUCUGGCAUCGAUGAAGAACGCAGCGAAAUGCGAUAAGUAAUGUGAAUUGCAGAAUUCAGUGAAUCAUCGAAUCUUUGAACGCACAUUGCGCCCCCUGGUAUUCCGGGGGGCAUGCCUGUUCGAGCGUCAUUUCACCACUCAAGCCUCGCUUGGUAUUGGGCAACGCGGUCCGCCGCGUGCCUCAAAUCGACCGGCUGGGUCUUCUGUCCCCUAAGCGUUGUGGAAACUAUUCGCUAAAGGGUGUUCGGGAGGCUACGCCGUAAAACAACCCCAUUUCUAAGGUUGACC
rnacentral:sRNA from 1 species